rfam:Lutzomyia longipalpis Contig3176, whole genome shotgun sequence.
AAAAACGCCCUUUUCAGGGCGACAAAUUAAAUUGCAUGAAGAGUUU